UGGAUUUUCAUCUAUUGCUGAUGAAUCUGGCUCAUCUCCACCACGAUAAAUGGGAUUCACUGUACAGUAAAUUGUGAGUGCUUGUGUGUCUCAGCUUGACCGUGGAGGUCCAGCGAGCCAAAGGACCGAACCCAGCCGAGGACCGAGACCCCAUCUUUGAGCGCGGCUCCACCACCACUUACUCCAGUUUUAGGGCGUCCACCUACUGCAAGCCCUGGACCAGGGAAGAGACAGACAUGUUCUUCCUGGCGAUCAGCAUGGUGGGAACAGACUUCUCCAUGAUAGGCCAGCUUUUUCACAACAGAACUCGAGCUGAGAUACGG